GCUGGCCCAUUAAAGGGAUCCACACACCCAAGGACUAUGCCAGGAACCGUGUACAAUGCAGACUUCUCAGAGAUAGCACAGCGACAAUGGACACUGCCUGACUCACAUCAUAGCAAAGGUACUUCCUAGCAAGUUGGAAGAAACUAUGAAAGGGGGGAAAAGAGAAUCAUGA